GGGCGUUCGGCGGUUACGGGCUGCCGCGCACGGCGUUCAAGCCGUCGUACGGCAUCGCGGAGGCCACGUUGUUCGUGGCGACCAUCGACCC
rnacentral:tRNA from 1 species